UACGUAGGGUGCGAGCGUUAAUCGGAAUUACUGGGCGUAAAGCGUGCGCAGGCGGUUAUGUAAGACAGAGGUGAAAUCCCCGGGCUCAAACUGGGAACUGCCUUUUUGACUGCAUGACUAUAGUACGGCAGAGGGGGAUGGAAUUCCGCGUGUAGCAGUGAAAUGCGUAGAUAUGCGGAGGAACACCGAUGGCGAAGGCAAUCCCCUGGGCCUGUACUGACGCUCAUGCACGAAAGCGUGGGGAGCAAACAGG
rnacentral:rRNA from 1 species